GAUGAACGCUGGCGGUAUGCCUAACACAUGCAAGUCGUACGAGAGUUUUUAACUCUAGUGGCGGACGGGUGAGUAACACGUGAGAAUUUGCCUUUAGGAGGGGGACAACAAUCGGAAACGAAUGCUAAUACCCCAUAUGCUUUCGAGUGAAAUGGAUUUUAUCUGCCUAGAGAGAAGCUCGCGGCUGAUUAGCUUGUUGGUAAGGUAAGAGCUUACCAAGGCGACGAUCAGUAUCUGGUUUGAGAGGACGAUCAGACACACUGGAACUGAGACACGGUCCAGACUCCUACGGGAGGCAGCAGUGGGGAAUUUUCCGCAAUGGGCGAAAGCCUGACGGAGCAAUACCGCGUGAGGGAAGAAUGCCUAUGGGUUGUAAACCGUCUUUUUCAGGGUAGGAAUAAAAUAGACGUGUACCUGAAGAAUAAGCAUCGGCUAACUCCGUG
rnacentral:rRNA from 1 species